AUACGGAGGGUGUAAGCGUUGUUCGGAAUUAUUGGGCGUAAAGCGCGUGUAGGCGGCUUGGUAAGUCAGGUGUGAAAGCCCUUAGCUCAACUAAGGAAAGUCAUCUGAAACUGCCAGGCUUGAGUACGGGAGAGGAGAGUGGAAUUCCCGGUGUAGAGGUGAAAUUCGUAGAUAUCGGGAGGAACACCCGUGGCGAAGGCGACUCUCUGGACCGAUACUGACGCUGAGACGCGAAAGCGUGGGGAGCAAACAGAAUUAGAAACCCCUGUAGUCC
rnacentral:rRNA from 1 species